rnacentral:rRNA from 1 species
CUUUAAUGUUGCCUCGGCGGAUCAGCCCGCGCCCCGUAAAACGGGACGGCCCGCCAGAGGACCCAAACUCUAAUGUUUCUUAUUGUAACUUCUGAGUAAAACAAACAAAUAAAUCAAAACUUUCAACAACGGAUCUCUUGGUUCUGGCAUCGAUGAAGAACGCAGCAAAAUGCGAUAAGUAAUGUGAAUUGCAGAAUUCAGUGAAUCAUCGAAUCUUUGAACGCACAUUGCGCCCGCUGGUAUUCCGGCGGGCAUGCCUGUUCGAGCGUCAUUUCAACCCUCAAGCCCCCGGGUUUGGUGUUGGGGAUCGGCUCUGCCUCACGGCGGUGCCGCCCCCGAAAUACAUUGGCGGUCUCGCUGCAGCCUCCAUUGCGUAGUAGCUAACACCUCGCAACUGGAACGCGGCGCGGCCAUGCCGUAAAACCCCAACUUCUGAAUGUUGACCUCGGAUCAGGUAGGAAUACCCGCUGAACUUAAGCAUAUCA